UUGGCCACCUGGCUCUGAGAACUGAAUUCCAUAGGCUGUGAGCUCUAGCAAAUGCCCUAGGGACUCAGUUCUGGUGCCCGGCUGUGCUGC
rnacentral:pre_miRNA from 1 species